rnacentral:rRNA from 1 species
UACGUAGGGUGCAAGCGUUGUCCGGAAUUAUUGGGCGUAAAGAGCUCGUAGGCGGUUCGUCGCGUCGGCUGUGAAAACCCGGAGCUCAACUCCGGGCCUGCAGUCGAUACGGGCGGACUUGAGUGUUGCAGGGGAGACUGGAAUUCCUGGUGUAGCGGUGAAAUGCGCAGAUAUCAGGAAGAACACCCGUGGCGAAGGCGGCUCUCUGGGACGGUACUGACGCUGAGACGCGAAAGCGUGGGGAGCGAACAGG